GAUGAACGCUGGCGGCGUGCCUAAUACAUGCAAGUCGAGCGAACAGAUAAGGAGCUUGCUCCUUUGACGUUAGCGGCGGACGGGUGAGUAACACGUGGGUAACCUACCUAUAAGACUGGAAUAACUCCGGGAAACCGGGGCUAAUGCCGGAUAACAUUUAGAACCGCAUGGUUCUAAAGUGAAAGAUGGUUUUGCUAUAACUUAUAGAUGGACCCGCGCCGUAUUAGCUAGUUGGUAAGGUAACGGCUUACCAAGGCAACGAUACGUAGCCGACCUGAGAGGGUGAUCGGCCACACUGGAACUGAGACACGGUCCAGACUCCUACGGGAGGCAGCAGUAGGGAAUCUUCCGCAAUGGGCGAAAGCCUGACGGAGCAACGCCGCGUGAGUGAUGAAGGUCUUCGGAUCGUAAAACUCUGUUAUUAGGGAAGAACAAAUGUGUAAGUAACUGUGCACGUCUUGACGGUACCUAAUCAGAAAGCCACGGCUAACUACGUG
rnacentral:rRNA from 1 species